UCUCCGUUGGUGAACCAGCGGAGGGAUCAUUAAAGAGUUGCAAAACUCCCACAAACCAUCGCGAACGUUACCACACAUAAGUUGCUUCGGCGCGCCGCUCCUGGGUCACACCGGGGCGCCGCCGGAGUGGCCGUAUACAAACUCUUAUUAUAAACUAGUUACAUCUGAGUACUAUACUUAAUAAGUAAAAACUUUCAACAACGGAUCUCUUGGUUCUG
rnacentral:misc_RNA from 1 species